ACUAAGUCAGAACCUUUAAAGGAAUCCCAAAGUAUUGCGGCCAAGGUUUGUUUGCGUCUUAAGUAAACUUGUAUUGAUUACUGAGAAAGUUUGAUUGCAAAAGUUAACAUUUAGAGAAUGUGUUUUUUUCUAUCCAAAAUCGACGUGAGAGGAUUAGUGAAAGGUUGAAGAUACUACAAGAACUGGUAGCCAAUGGCCCCAAGGGACAAGCUGGUGGUGGAACUUGGGUUGGAUCUGUUUGCUGUAAAUGAUGAGAAAUUCAAGGACACGUUUGUUUCUCCUACCGCCAUUGAAGUACUGCAACACAAACGACAAUCCCUUCAAAAUAUCCAAAAGAUGAUGAAGUAAAGACACAAAAUGGAGAGAGAAGCAAACAUUAUGCCGAAAUUGGAUGGUCGAAGAAUCAGGAAGCUGGAAAGACUAAUCCAAAGCUUGCAGCCAUUAACAAGAAAUUUGGAAUAUCAAUAUUUUGUUUUCCUUUUUCCUAGUUAAU